rnacentral:lncRNA from 1 species
UGAACCAUGCUCUUAUAAACCGAAAAUUAUUUAAGCCACAAUCUUUCAGUGUAUUUCUAAAGUCCACCAUCUGACUUUCUCUCCUUAAACAGUUUUCUGUCUUUUCAUAGUUCCAAAGGAUUUCGUUGAAGUCUCCCACGGCUUAUUACUCUACAUUGCUAGAUUACACAAAAGUUCCCCAGAUUCAUUCCUUCUUCUAGUAUCCGGUUCUCCAUAAAACCUCGUCAACCUCUGC